CCCGCGCGCAGCUCCCCUCCCUUCGUUUUUCAGAACAGCCGGUGGCUUUGCAAGCCACCACCGUCGCCCCGCCGGACCACCGGCCAUGAGACCGGUACCAUUCGAACCGCCACCUCCCCCUCUCUCUUCCCCGGCCAGCACAGCCCUUGGAGCCGACGAAACCCGCCGGAAAAACGCAGAAAAUUUGCUGGUUUUUGACAGAUUUUCCAAUCGCUCGUUCUCCCUCAAUUCUCCACCAAAUCGGACGAAUGAGAACUUAAAAAACAAAAGGACAGCAGCUGUGAUGCGCACGCAGGAAAAGAAAGGAACCCAGCAAGUUUGCUUAAGCUUUUUUUCAAACACUUGGAGUGCAGCAGCAGCCAGAGCAGAGGUGGGAGUGUCUGGUUUUGGGACUGGAAGAGCGUCAUAAUUUUCACCAAGAAGGCAAGGCACACUUGUCCUCAAAAUGAAUGUUGCAAUUGGAGCACCUUUUAUGCUUCUUGUGAAGAGCCUGUUGGUGUGCAACCAGACCCGAUUUGUUGAUAAAACUUGAAGUUUUGUCACAAAGCUUACAAACAAAGGUAGACAUGUUUCAAAGCUCUAAAAUUUACAAACAUACUUGUUAGAAUGAGAUGAUAAUUGUGGAAAUAGAAAAUAGAGAGAGUUGAUAGGACUUACCAAAGCAAAAGCCAAAAUGAAGAAAAGUGAUAUUUGUUCAUUUUACCAAAGCAAAGCAAGAGCAGUCAUCAACAAAUAUCACUUUUCUUCAUUUUGGCUUUUGCUUUGGUAAGUCCCAUCAACUCUCUCUAUUUUCUAUUUCCACAAUUAUUAUCUAAUUUUAACAAGUAUGUUUGUAAAUUUUAGAGCUUUGGAAUAUGUCUACCUUUGUUUGUAAGCUUUGUGACAAAACUUCAAGUUUUAUCAACAAGUCUGAUCUGGUUGCACACCAACAGGCUCUUCACAAGAAGCAUAAAAGGUGCUCCGAUUGCAACAUUCAUUUUGAGGACAAGUGUGCCUUCUUGGCACACAAGCCAUCAAAGGUAAUAGCAAAAUUGGCACACAAGUCAUCAAAGGGAUGCAAGAAUGGAAAGUUUGUUUGAGGUGAUCUAAGAAGGGAUCUUAUGGACUACUACAUAUAAAUAAGAUCUUAUGGACUACUCUUAUCUAAGUAAGAUCUAGCUAUGUAUAUGCUUGAAUUUUAUGACUUAAUUUGUUGCUUGGAUGUUAUUUUAAACUUGGUUGGAUUUUAAUUCCUAUGGAAUGAAUUGUGCUUCAGUGCUAGCUUAAUUGUAAUAAGUUUGUAUGCUUAGGUUGUGGUGUGUUUGUUGGAUGUUAUAUAUCAUGAGACAUAGAGCUUGAAUUCAUAAAGUGAAGGUUGUGGUUUUCUACGCAAUCCUACACCAUCGAUCGUGGCAGCCCUCUCUCUGUCUCUCUCUCUCACUCUUCUUCUACUUUGUUACAUGGAAUGGAGGCAGCCCUCUCUCUGUUUCUCUCACUCUUU